rnacentral:tRNA from 1 species
UCCUAGUUAGCUCAAUUGGUGGAGCGCUCCACUGGAAAUGGAGAGGUUCCUGGUACGAUACAAGGACCAGGCG